rnacentral:rRNA from 1 species
AUUGAACGCUGGCGGCAUGCUCUACACAUGCAAGUCGAACGGUAACAGGCCGCAAGGUUCUGACGAGUGGCGAACGGGUGAGUAAUGCAUCGGAACGUGCCCCGUCGUGGGGGAUAACUACUCGAAAGAGUAGCUAAUACCGCAUUCGUUCUAUGUAUGAAAGCGUGGGACCGUAAGGCCUCGCCCGAUUGGAUCGGCCGGUGUCAGAUUAGGUAGUUGGUGGGGUAAAGGCUCACCAAGCCAACGAUCUGUAGCUGGUCUGAGAGGACGACCAGCCACACUGGGACUGAGACACGGCCCAGACUCCUACGGGAGGCAGCAGUGGGGAAUUUUGGACAAUGGGCGCAAGCCUGAUCCAGCAAUGCAGCGUGCAGGAAGAAGGCCUUCGGGUUGUAAACUGCUUUUGUACGGAACGAAACGGCUCUGGUUAAUACCCGGGGCUAAUGACGGUACCGUAAGAAUAAGCACCGGCUAACUACGU